rnacentral:rRNA from 1 species
AACGCGAAGAACCUUACCAUCCCUUGACAUGUCGUGCCAGCCGGAGAGAUCCGGGGUUCCCUUCGGGGACGCGAACACAGGUGCUGCAUGGCUGUCGUCAGCUCGUGUCGUGAGAUGUUGGGUUAAGUCCCGCAACGAGCGCAACCCUCGUCCUUAGUUGCCAUCAUUUAGUUGGGCACUCUAGGGAGACUGCCGGUGAUAAGCCGAGAGGAAGGUGUGGAUGACGUCAAGUCCUCAUGGCCCUUACGGGAUGGGCUACACACGUGCUACAAUGGCGGUGACAGUGGGCAGCGAAGGAGCGAGGUGGAGCAAAUCCCCAAAAACCGUCUCAGUUCAGAUUGCACUCUGCAACUCGAGUGCAUGAAGGCGGAAUCGCUAGUAA